rnacentral:rRNA from 1 species
AUACGGAGGGUGCAAGCGUUAAUCGGAAUUACUGGGCGUAAAGCGCGCGUAGGCGGCUCAGUCAGUCGGAUGUGAAAGCCCCGGGCUCAACCUGGGAAUUGCAUUCGAUACUGCUGAGCUAGAGUAUGGAAGAGGGAAGUGGAAUUCCGGGUGUAGCGGUGAAAUGCGUAGAUAUCCGGAGGAACACCAGUGGCGAAGGCGACUUCCUGGGCCAAUACUGACGCUGAGGUGCGAAAGCGUGGGGAGCAAACAGGAUUAGAGACCCCAGUAGUCC